rnacentral:rRNA from 1 species
AAAUAACUACGAGUGAAAACUUAAAAUUUAAAAGACUUGACGGUACUUCACACCGACCUAGAGGAGCCUGUCUAUUAACCGAUAAUCCACGACAACCCAGCCCACCCUAGCCCAUAGCAGUCUAUAUACCGCCGUCGCCAGCCUGCCUUAUGAAAGAAACAAAGCGGACCUAAUAGAAUCGCACUAACACGACAGGUCGAGGUGUAACUAAUGAGUGGGAACAAGAUGGGCUACAUUUUCUAACCCAGAAAAUACGAAUAAACUAUGAAACUAGAAACUGAAGGCGGAUUUAGCAGUAAGUUAAGAAUAAGAUACUUAACUGAAACAAACGCAAUGAAGUGUGU